AUCUCCGCUCCCCAAAAUGGUGGUGUGUCAGGUUUCCUGCGGGCAAACUUCGACGCUCCUUUUUGGACUCCAGCCCUCCUCUUCACGACAAUCAGUGGAGUGAGAAAGAAAAGCUCAUCCAGCCAUUUGGCUCCAGUCCUAAUUAGCUGGGCCAUGCUGACAGGAUGCUGACAGAGUACAUCACACACACAGG